rnacentral:lncRNA from 1 species
UACAUUUCAAUAGAAGUACCGAAAUAUAGGGUGAACAGAAAUGGGAUAUCCCAAACCCUUUCCAUCUCAGCAAAAUGUGACUCAUCCAACGACAAAAUGUUUUCAGAAACUCAAAAAUCAAAAAGAAUAAAAAACCCACGAAGUAUGUUUGAGGUGACGAUGGUUUGGGGGAGUCCCGCCCAAGACGGAGAUUCAUUUUUUGUAUUUUAUUUUUAUUUUUUCAAAAAUACAAAACGAGCCGGAGUAUUCUUUUGGGAGAGAUUUGGACGAGGAGGAGGGUGAAAGUUGACGGGGUCGGGCCACCUCGAACGACCUCGAUAGUUACGCGGCAAGAGGAGGCCGUAGAUUCGAAAUCGUUACUGCACAACAACCUCCCCCAGACUAGGAUUUCAAAGCAGGAUU